ACGGCCUCAGUGAAAGGGAACCGCUGGUGACAGGGCCUACAGACCCCGACCAAAAAGCGCAUAUAACUCACGUGCAGGCUUCAAUGCACAAAGAUCCCGGGGGCCGGCGGAGCAGGGUCGGAGAGCGUGACAGCCCCUGCCCUGAGACCCCGGCUUUAUGUGCUACGCAUCCACGCGUGGCACUGCCCCUUCCAUGCAGGCUCCUUCCGUGGAUAAAGUGACACAUUUUGUUUUGUUUUUUUUUUUAAGAUGCAGUCUCGCUCUGUCGCCAGGCUGGAGUGCAGUGGCGCUACCUCGGCUCGCUGCAACCUCCGCCUCCCGGAGUCAAGCAAUUCUCCUGCCUCAGCCUCCCGAGUAGCUGGGACUACAAGCACGCGCCACCAUGCCCCCCUAGUUUUGGUAUUUUUAGUAGAGACGGGGUUUCCCCAGGUUGGCCAGGAUAGUCUCCAUCUCUUAUCCUCAUGAUCUGCCCGCCUUGGCCUCCCAAAGUGCCGGGAUUACAGGCGUGAGCCACCGCACCUGGCCAAGUGACACACUUUGUAAGACAAAAGCCAUUUCGUGAACUUCUACACUCAUGAAGUGUGUCUGGGAGGCCCCCUCCUCUGGGCACCACUGCCCUACGAUGGCUCCAUCUGUAGCCUCCUUUUCCAAGAGGACUUAAGACUGACAAUAAAUGGAUCCCAGAUACAGAUUCCCCGGCAAGCGGCAAACGUCCAUCCCCAUUACCGGAAACCUCCAGAUACUUCACACUUACUGGCAGCCCAGGACACGGGGACCCAAAUCCUUGCCUGCCCUGUGCAGUGGCUCUCAAGGCCAGGAAGGGGGGCUCGUGCUCAGAGCCAGGCUGGCCUGCCUGCUCACUUCUGUUUGCCAGGGCACCAUCAUCUCCCACCAAGGAUGAACCUGAAGCUUCAGGGCAACGAAGAGAAACCCAGAAGGGAAGGGACUUGCAACCAAGGCUGCCCAAAGUGGCCCCUUGUCCAGGCCCAUCUCUAAAUACAACCCACACCGAGGAUGCCUGGUGGGGCAGAAGUCCCUGGGUCUCGUUCCUGUCAGGGGCGAGUGAACCUUCGCAACCUCCCGGGGCUUUGGAAUUUGACUUAAUGACGAAGGGCAACAUGGACCGCUGGACAAAGACCUGGAGUUCCCACUACCUGCACCGCUCUGGCCAAUCCCAUUUGGAAAUCAGUCAGCAAGAUUCGCUCUCCUCUGGACUCUGAGCCCCCGGGAGGAGAGGAUGGGAGAGGUCAAGCGUGUGCAAUUCUGUUGCAGCCUCACAACCAACAAGCAGCCGUGUUCCGAUGGCUCUGCCGGAAGCCCAGAGGGACUCCCGUGGCUCAAACGGGGGCAGAGACAUGCAGGGCCCCGGGGCACGUGAAGGUGAGAGACAGAACAUACCGUGAAGAAGCCACUGAGAGCGGGAGACAGAGGCAGGAACAGGGAUGACACUGGAGGACAGCAGGCCUGCCUGGAGGCCAGCAUUCUCUACAACCUUCCACGAACCAACAGCAAAGCCCGCUCCGGGCCACGUGCCUGGCAGCUGCUCAGCCACUGCCCCGCUCCUCCCUAGGCAAAAUCUCAGGGAAGCACCUUGCAUCGUUUCCAUUUCCUCACCUCUUACUCUUCCUUGAACAGUCCCCCCAAGAAACUGCCUACCCACCAUCAACAACUGGCACAGGGCAGAUCCACGGGUCAGGCUGUGUGCACCUGACCGCUUCAUAACCCCUGCGUGGGCAGCCAGCACCCUCCAUCAGAAACCGUUUGAUCCCGUGGCCUCUGGGUCUCCAUCAUUCGAGCUCGGGAGCAACAUCCCAUCACCAUCUCCUCUCCUCGGUGGGCCCCUCCUCGUGUUCACCCCUGCACUGGGGGAACCCAGGCUCCACUCACAGAGGAGCCAACCUCUGGGCAGCCUGCCAGCUCGCUGUGAAAGUCCUCACGGCCCUGACUCCUCCUGGAGCUCUGCUGGCAGCACCUAAGUGCCCACUCAGACCUGAAUGGCGGCACCAGCGGAUGCAUGAAAUGCCAGCCCAGCACCCGCCCCGGUCUCUCCCAGCUCAGCAGCAGACACCGCUGUGCGCUAGGCUUGAGGGCCACCUCCCAGGAGCCGCCCCUGACUCCAUUCUCUUGACCGGUCUGUUCAUCAGACCUCGAUCACGGCCCCUGCCCCUGCUCUCCUGCCCGUUCUCCCGCCUGGCCUAGGAGAAGCCACAGCAAACCCCACAUUCCCCGCCACAAAGAGAAGGAAGUCCAGAGUCAGUGCCAGGCUGCCACGGCUCAGGGGCCCAGCCCACCACAGCCUUUCAUGCCCCCCCACACACUCCUGCCCAGGAGUUGAAAGAGCCCCACACUGCCGCCAGCCCCUACCCAGCCCUAAGACUCUUGGCAGCACAUCUUGCUGCCGGGAAGCCUCUGACACGGAUCGUCAGUGCACGUCCAGCUCCUCCACCAAAAUCGAAGCUUCUCGUGGGCAGAGACGCCACCCGGCAUAGCAGCGCAUCCCCAUCACCCAUCAACCUGCACUUGGCAAGCACCUCCAAACAGAGAGAGCACACACACUCCGCCGGCAGCCGAAGGAGCUGCAGGAUGGUGCUGAGAGUGGGAGCAGGCCAGAACAAAGCUCUAACACAGAAGAGCCGGGUGCUGGGGAGAGACGGGGAGGACAGGUGGGAGGACUCAGGCCCCUCCCCAGGCAGGAUGGGGAGGCCACGACACUUGGGCCAGCUUGGAGGGUGGCGGGGGAGGAGAAGAGCAGAGGCAGACUGCACCUGCUGGGGGCGACGACGGUGUGGCGUGGCCAGCCCAGCCACUGGCAGGCCCACAGGUCAGCUGGAUGGGGCAGAGGUGGGGCCCACCCCAACUUCCACCGGGCCUUGCCUCCCAGAUUCCUGAGCCAAGGUUUAAUAACAGAAAAGAUGGCGCUCUAGGGGAGCAAGGGACACCGACCAAGCAAGCCGCAGCAGCGAGGACUGUGCUGGAGCCACAUCAGUGGCUUCUCCGGGAAGUAACGUCCUGUGCAGACUCACAGCCACACCCUGGCGCUGCCUCGGCUGCCUCCCUGAAUGUCAGCGGCCUGAGGGACCCCACUCGGCAGGGAGCGGGGGCUGCUUGUGGGAACACACAGGGUCUGAUUCCAAGUGAGAGGGGUGACUGGUGUGGCUUCAGACGGCACCAACCACGCAAAGGAUACACAGCUUCUCGUCGUCCUGAAAUGUGAAGUAAAGCUUAACAAAGAAGGGGUGAUCCAGGCGCGACAUGACAUCCCGCUCUCUGGUUACAUACGGGACCUUGUUCUCUUUUAUGAUAUGUCGCUUCUCCAGAAUUUUAACUUCAGGUGAGAGAGAAGUGAGUUACUAUCAGAAACAACAAAAAACACUAAAGACAUGACUCACAAAGGUAACUGGUACAAAUUAAAGUCUUUCAAACAUUGUACACAACAGCCUGGUGGUCUCUAAAGCCAACAGUGUCCCGUACCCUGAAAUCAGCACAGAAACACCGGCCCUGCCACCCCGGCCGCCCUGCACGGAGCCGCUUGCCCUGCUCCCGGAUGCGCAGCUCCCUGCAGCCCAUACUCACUCGCAUAUUCUCUGGAGGUUGCCAGUUCUCGAGCCAGGACAACCUGGUUUGG
rnacentral:antisense_RNA from 1 species